rnacentral:rRNA from 1 species
UACAGAGGGCUCAAGCGUUGUUCGGAUUCAUUGGGCGUAAAGCGUGCGCAGGCGGUUUUGUAAGCCGGAUGUGAAAUCCCCGGGCUUAACCUGGGAAUGGCAUUCGGGACUGCAAGGCUGGAGUGCGGCAGAGGAGACUGGAAUUCCUGGUGUAGCAGUGAAAUGCGUAGAUAUCAGGAGGAACACCGAUGGCGAAGGCAGGUCUCUGGGCUGACACUGACGCUCAUGCACGAAAGCGUGGGGAGCAAACAGG